rnacentral:tRNA from 1 species
GCAAGAAUAGCUCAGUUGGUUAGAACAUGUGGCUGUUAACCACAAGGAUGGAGGUUAAAACCCUCUUUCUAGCG